rnacentral:snRNA from 1 species
AUACCUUUCUCGGCCUUUUGGCUAAGAUCAAGUGUAGUAUCUGUUCUUAUCAGUUUAAUAUCUGAUAUGUAGGGUUGUGCAACGGUUCAGAACCGGACCGAACCAAAUCAAAACUGAACCGGAACCGUUAAUUGUUAAAUUUAAGAACCGGAACCGAACUGUAUUAUAACGGUUCCGGUUCGGUUCCGAACCGGUUAAAUGGUUCUCGUGUAAACGGUUCUCACGGGAACCAGU